CAUGCAGGUGGUUUGUUAAGUCAGAUGUGAAAGCCCGGGGCUCAACCUCGGAAUUGCAUUUGAAACUGGCAAACUAGAGUACUGUAGAGGGGGUAGAAUUUCAGGUGUAGCGGUGAAAUGCGUAGAGAUCUGAAGGAAUACCGGUGGCGAAGGCGGCCCCCUGGACAGAUACUGACACUCAGAUGCGAAAGCGUGGGGAGCAAACAGGAUUAGAUACCCUGGGAG
rnacentral:rRNA from 1 species